GUGCCAGCAGCCGCGGUAAUACAGAGGUCCCGAGCGUUGUUCGGAUUCACUGGGCGUAAAGGGUGCGUAGGUGGCAUGUUAAGUUUGAUGUGAAAGCUCAGGGCUUAACCCUGAAAUGGCAUUGAAUACUAGCGUGCUGGAGGUUUGGAGGGGGGACUGGAAUUCUCGGUGUAGCAGUGAAAUGCGUAGAUAUCGAGAGGAACACCAGUGGCGAAGGCGAGUCCCUGGACAACACCUGACACUGAGGCACGAAAGCCGGGGGAGCAAACAGGAUUAGAAACCCCCGUAGUCC
rnacentral:rRNA from 1 species